GGAAUCAAUUGCACUUAUUCAAGUGUCUGGAACUGGAGUUCACAAUAAUAAAGCACUACAAGUUGAAACGGUGGCCACUUCUUUAAACUCUUAUGACUGCUUCCUUCUGCAAUCUGGUACUUCCAUGUUCCUUUGGCAUGG